rnacentral:misc_RNA from 1 species
UUUAGAGUAUGAAUUCUGAAAAGAGUUCUUCUCCCACCCAAUGUUUUUACAACUUUGUUGCUUCGGCGUGCCGCUUUUUUCAAAAGCUAUCGGCGUUCCAUCGCGGAUAAGUGCAUGCCGAAGGUUCAAACUCUUGAAAUAUUUUGUCUAAUUAUUCAUAUCCAAUUUAUGA